UGUGUUCUGGCGUAAAAUGUAAAAUUUAAACAAAAUAGAACUAUCAGCUGUGAUAAUAAAGAUCGUUUUAAUAAAAUAAAAUAUUUUAUGUUGCUUAUCACAAUUCAGUUGGUAUUUUGACGAGCCGGUCCUGUUUUGCCAGUCGAAGUUGAACAAAAAUAAGAUGUAUCAAAGAAUAUUGGGAACUAUCGCUAUUAUCUUAGUCAUAUUCAGACUGAUCGUUGAAGGCACUCAUGAUGGAAUUGAUUCAGACAACAACUACGACGCUUAUGAUACUUAUCUAGUAAAUCCUGAUUCUUAAGUCUAUGAAUAAAGUUUUCUUUUAAUAAAA